rnacentral:lncRNA from 1 species
CCGUAGACCAUGGGAGUCAACACGUCCUGCCCCUAAUUAUGAUCUGUGUCCGGAGUUGAUUGCAAUAGGUCAAAACCAACCCUUUUCUAUAGCUGAGGUCCUAUAUUUUAAUCAAGAAGAUAAUGCACUUUUAGCUACACCUAGGGAAUCUGUUAAUCUUUUUAUAAAUUCUGGUUUAGACCUAACCCUACAAGACCAUGUUUUUCCUAGAUAUUUUC